GAAAGCCGUAUACAUGGAGACAUGUACGUACGGUUUGGGGGCAGACACAGGGAAACCAGCUAUGGAAACAUAGAUAUUGGCGUCAGGUGUCGAGCCUAC
rnacentral:ncRNA from 1 species